AGAGUCAUGGACCUCACUUGCAAGAGCAUGAAACACCUGUGGUUCUUCCUCCUCCUGGUGGCAGCUUCCAGAAGAGUCCUAUCCAAGGUGCAGGUGCAGCUGCAGCAGUGGGGCCCAGGACUGGUGAAGCCUUCAGAGACCCUGUCCCUCACCUGUGCUGUCUAUGGUUACUUCAUCAGCAGUGAUUACUGGUGGAGCUGGAUCCGCCAGCCUCCAGGGAAGGGGCUAGAGUGGAUUGGGAGAAUCAGUUAUAUUGGGAGCACCUACUACAACCCGUCCCUCAAGAGUCGAGUCACCCUAUCAACAGACACGUCCAAGAGCCAGUUCUCCCUGAGGCUGAGCUCUGUGACCACCGCAGACACGGUCGUGUAUUACUGUGCGGGACACAGUGAGGGGAGACAUCCCCAAGUACCAAGGGUAGAAGAGACUUUCAAUGAAGUUUGGCUGUCAAUGCCCCCAACACCACAUCAGUUUCUAAUAUCCACAUCCUGCAUCCAUCCUUCUGUGGACAACCCCCAUCGGGCUACGCAGAAAUGA